AUUAAGGAGCAGGUAGGGGUUAGACAGUAGAGACAGGUCAUUAAGGAGCAGGUAGGAAUUAGACAGUACAGAGACAGGUCAUUAAGGAGCAGGUAGGGGUUAGACAGUACAGAGACAGGUCAUUAAGGAGCAGGUAGGGGUUAGACAGUACAGAGACAGGUCAUGAAGGAGCAGGUAGGGGUUAGACAGUACAGAGACGGGUCAUUAUGGAGCAGGUAGGGGUUAGACAGUAUAGAGACAGGUCAUUAAGGAGCAGGUAGGGGUUAGACAGUACAGAGACAGGUCAUUAAGGACCAGGUAGGGGUUAGACAGUACAGAGACAGGUCAUUACGGAGCAGGUAGGGGUUAGACAGUACAGAGACAGGUCAUUAAGGAGAGGGUAGGGGUUAGACAGUACAGAAACAGGUCAUUAAGGAGCAGGUAGGGGUUAGACAGUACAGAGACAGGUCAUUAAGGACCAGGUAGGGGUUAGACAGUACAGAGACAGGUCAUUACGGAGCAGAUAGGGGUUAGACAGUACAGAGACAGGUCAUUAAGGAGCAGGUAGGGGUUAGACAGUAGAGACAGGUCAUUAAGGAGCAGGUAGGGGUUAGACAGUACAGAGACAGGUCAUUACGGAGCAGGUAGGGGUGGGACAGAUUUGAGCUAAUUUGACAUUAAAGACAUUGAGAGCCCAGUGCCUCCAAACCAAGGCUGACAUCUUGUUAUCCAGGUGAUUUAGUUAAGCUUUGUUUCCCUAGUAGAGCCACGGCGCUCCAGACAGCCCUCCCCAUGCAUCACUACAGGGCGGCUAAACGUACACUUUGUACUUUGUGGCGUUCUGCAGACGAAGGCUAGAAGCCUGACACCUUUACAUGCCUUCUUGUGUACGUGCGAUCAUGUCAAGGGCUUACGUGAUUUUCAAAAGGUCACAAAAAGGAAUCAAACCUUUAUCACCUGUUGUUUGGUCCACCCUGCCUUCCACCGGUAUGUACACCCCUUCAUUACCUCUCUCUCUCUCUCUCUCUCUCUCUCUCUCUCUCUCUCUCUCUCUCUCUCCCUCUCUCCCUCUCUCUCUCUCUCC
ensembl:lncRNA